rnacentral:rRNA from 1 species
UACGUAGGGGGCUAGCGUUGUCCGGAAUCAUUGGGCGUAAAGCGCGUGUAGGCGGUCCGGUAAGUCCGCUGUGAAAGUCGGGGGCUCAACCCUCGAAUGCCGGUGGAUACUGUCGGGCUAGAGUGCGGAAGAGGCGAGUGGAAUUCCUGGUGUAGCGGUGAAAUGCGCAGAUAUCAGGAGGAACACCAAUUGCGAAGGCAGCUCGCUGGGACGUUACUGACGCUGAAUCGCGAAAGCUAGGGGAGCAAACGGG